GGACUCCAAGUUCUUCAGCUUUGGGACACAGACUGGCUUCCUUGCUCUUCAGCUUACAGAUGGCCUGUCAUGGGACCUCACCUUGUGAUCCCUGGAAAAUUUGCACACGAAGACGCUGUGUAGACGAAGAUGAUGUGAGGACACAGGAAGAAGAUGGCCCUGAAGCCAUGGAGAAAAGAAGUCUGGAAGAGACUUCCCUCACAGCCCUCAGAGGGAGUCAACCCUGUCAACACCGUGAUUUCAAACUUCUAGUCUACGGAAGUGUGAGACAAUACAUUUCUUUUGUUUAAGCCGCUGAUUUUGUAGUACUUUGUUAUGGUAGCCCUAGUGAACGGAUACAAUUAUGUUUGUUUGUUUUUUUAAAAAUUGCUUUCUGUUUGUGCCAUAUGUAGAAUUCUCAUUUUCAACUUCAACUGUUUUGGACUGGUGAAUAAAUUUUAACUUGUCAUAGCAAUUUUCACCCAAAGCACAAUUUAUAAAGCAUGUAUUGCCAGGUACACAAGAGGUAUUUAAUUUUUCUUUAGAUGUAUUUUUAAAAGGCUUUACAUACUCCUGCAGGAUUGCCAUGAACAUAAAUAAUGCCUGUAAUUGUCUGACACAUAGAAAUGCUCUAUAAAUAUUACGUAAUAUUAUUUUUAAACGUGCUGUCCACAACAGUCUUCUGAGUGUUGUAUGUGGUAAAAGAGACUUUAGAGCAACAGGCUGUAAGACAGAGGAGCCAAAAGAGAGGCUUACAUAUUCCUCAAGCUGUCCACUCUCCUAAAAAUACAAUGUAUCUUGAAUAAUUUAUCUGAAUAAAAACAACACGUGGCUUAAGAAAAGGUUUUGGGUAAUAACUUGUUGAUGUAAAAGACACAUACAGUGGAAAAUAUUCACAAAGCACUAACGUACAAUCUGUGAUUCAGGUCUGUUUCCCUGCCCGCCCCCUGCCCCCAAACCCCCAGUUCUUCUAAAGGAGCACUAGGCUUAUAACCUCUAAUCUUGUGUGAAGCCUUGCUCUCCAGAGUUUCUGUUUACUUCCAUUAUUCCAUGUAGAGCCAUAUAUCUACGGAUUUUAUGCCUACUUGGACACCAGAUAUUCUUGCCUCUCC
rnacentral:lncRNA from 1 species